rnacentral:snoRNA from 1 species
UGGACUGAUGAUGACAGCGGCUGGGGUAUGAAUCUUGGAUGAUGAAUAAUCUGGAACUCUGAAGUCCAA